GAGAGAGGCCAGAAACAAUAAGGACUGCUAAUCCCUAUUCCCGUGGUUAAAAUCCACGGCUCACUCG
rnacentral:tRNA from 1 species